rnacentral:rRNA from 1 species
CAGUAGCCGCGGUAAUACGGAGGGAGCUAGCGUUGUUCGGAAUUACUGGGCGUAAAGCGCGCGUAGGCGGUUACUCAAGUCAGAGGUGAAAGCCCGGGGCUCAACCCCGGAACUGCCUUUGAAACUAGGUGACUAGAAUCUUGGAGAGGUCAGUGGAAUUCCGAGUGUAGAGGUGAAAUUCGUAGAUAUUCGGAAGAACACCAGUGGCGAAGGCGACUGACUGGACAAGUAUUGACGCUGAGAUGCGAAAGCGUGGGGAGCAAACAGGAUUAGAUACCCCGGUAGUCCCUGUCUCUUAUAC